CGCAGCACCGCCGGGCGCCCGUCGGGCUCUGGGAGAGAGCGAGGGAGAAAUCCGGUUAAAAUCAGAGUCGGAGGGAGGUUUAACCACAGAUCGGUUCCGAUCGGAUUAUUCCUUAAAGGGGACGCGCCAUUGUCAAGAGAACAGAGCCAGGGGCCCGAGGGCGGGGACCGGCGGCGCUGGAGGAGCGAGGCAGCUGCACUUGGACUGGGGACGGAACAUUCCACAUUCUGCUUCACACACGGUGACUCACUCACUACUGCUUUGCACCAGUGUGCCCACUCAGAGUGCCUAUAAAGUACAAGCUCCAGAUCGAAAAAGCUUCUAGAUGGAUCCUUUCCAGACUCGGUGUCUUUUCUACAAACUCUGUGCCUCAACAACCAUUUCUGAGUGGUAAGGACAAGUAUAUUUUACAAAUAAGAAUAACA
rnacentral:lncRNA from 1 species